rnacentral:tRNA from 1 species
GGGGGUGCAGCUCAGCGGUAGAGCACUUGCUUGCCUAGCAAGGUCGAGGUCCUGAGUUCAAACCCCACCUCCA